UUCUCUAAUCCUUGAAUAUUGAGGAAAUCCAUGAGGCCUAGGUGAAAAUUAAUGGUGCGUUAGCAUACAAAAGAUGCAAGCUGACCAGGAAGAUUGCUAGCCAAUUUUUAUGUUACAGACUGGUGAAUCAUUUAUGUAUUUGCUAAGGUUAAGCAGUUAGCACACUUGGGUAGACAAAAAUAAAUUAAUGAAAAAGCAUUGAAAACCCAUGAUUAGGUACAUAAAAUUGAUAGGUACAGUUAUUCUAUUUAUCACAAUGACUUGCGAUAAUAUGUAUAAUAGCUGUUGGGAAGAAAAAAAAAAAAGAAUUUUUAUAUUGGUAGUGAAACAAUGAAAUGUGAACAAAUUAACCCUUGCUAGAUACCAUAUACAGUUUGUGCCUCCAACAGUUGAAAGACAUUAAUAAACUGAGGUGGUCAGGGCUGGAGCAGUUGCCCAUGGGGGCUGAAGUCCAGCUGUGUGUGGGAAGGGGCAGGGCCAGGAGCACACAACAGAGCCCUAGUGCCCACGUGGGUCUGCCAGGGAGAUGGCAUCAAGCUCUUCUCAGGCAUGGCUCUUCUCAGGUAUGGCAGGAGGCAAGGGCCUGGUACCAGGAAACCUUUUCCCAGGAGUAGAGACUUUGGCACUCGGCAGGUGGUGGAUUCUCAAAGCAACUGCUUCCUGGAAAAGCACUGGUAAUUUAAGGAGAGGAAGACUUUUAAUUCCAACAAAGUGCAAAAUGUCAUGGCACUGUGACAGAAUGCUAAAUUCUGUGGCUGUAUAAUCACCAUGUUCUCUGUGAUUAGG
rnacentral:lncRNA from 1 species